rnacentral:tRNA from 1 species
GGUCUCAUGGUGUAAUGGUUAGCACUCUGGACUCUGAGUCCAGCGAACCGAGUUCAAAUCUCGGUGAGACCU